rnacentral:rRNA from 1 species
GUAGAACGCUGAAGAGAGGAGCUUGCUCUUCUUGGAUGAGUUGCGAACGGGUGAGUAACGCGUAGGUAACCUGCCUUGUAGCGGGGGAUAACUAUUGGAAACGAUAGCUAAUACCGCAUAACAAUGGAUGACACAUGUCAUUUAUUUGAAAGGGGCAAUUGCUCCACUACAAGAUGGACCUGCGUUGUAUUAGCUAGUAGGUGAGGUAAUGGCUCACCUAGGCGACGAUACAUAGCCGACCUGAGAGGGUGAUCGGCCACACUGGGACUGAGACACGGCCCAGACUCCUACGGGAGGCAGCAGUAGGGAAUCUUCGGCAAUGGGGGCAACCCUGACCGAGCAACGCCGCGUGAGUGAAGAAGGUUUUCGGAUCGUAAAGCUCUGUUGUAAGUCAAGAACGGGUGUGAGAGUGGAAAGUUCACACUGUGACGGUAGCUUACCAGAAAGGGACGGCUAACUACGUGCCAGCAGCCGCGGUAAUACGUAGGUCCCGAGCGUUGUCCGGAUUUAUUGGGCGUAAAGCGAGCGCAGGCGGUUUGAUAAGUCUGAAGUUAAAGGCUGUGGCUCAACCAUAGUUCGCUUUGGAAACUGUCAAACUUGAGUGCAGAAGGGGAGAGUGGAAUUCCAUGUGUAGCGGUGAAAUGCGUAGAUAUAUGGAGGAACACCGGUGGCGAAAGCGGCUCUCUGGUCUGUAACUGACGCUGAGGCUCGAAAGCGUGGGGAGCGAACAGGAUUAGAUACCCUGGUAGUCCACGCCGUAAACGAUGAGUGCUAGGUGUUGGAUCCUUUCCGGGAUUCAGUGCCGCAGCUAACGCAUUAAGCACUCCGCCUGGGGAGUACGACCGCAAGGUUGAAACUCAAAGGAAUUGACGGGGGCCCGCACAAGCGGUGGAGCAUGUGGUUUAAUUCGAAGCAACGCGAAGAACCUUACCAGGUCUUGACAUCCCGAUGCUAUUUCUAGAGAUAGAAAGUUACUUCGGUACAUCGGUGACAGGUGGUGCAUGGUUGUCGUCAGCUCGUGUCGUGAGAUGUUGGGUUAAGUCCCGCAACGAGCGCAACCCCUAUUGUUAGUUGCCAUCAUUCAGUUGGGCACUCUAGCGAGACUGCCGGUAAUAAACCGGAGGAAGGUGGGGAUGACGUCAAAUCAUCAUGCCCCUUAUGACCUGGGCUACACACGUGCUACAAUGGUUGGUACAACGAGUUGCGAGUCGGUGACGGCGAGCUAAUCUCUUAAAGCCAAUCUCAGUUCGGAUUGUAGGCUGCAACUCGCCUACAUGAAGUCGGAAUCGCUAGUAAUCGCGGAUCAGCACGCCGCGGUGAAUACGUUCCCGGGCCUUGUACACACCGCCCGUCACACCACGAGAGUUUGUAACACCCGAAGUCGGUGAGGUAACCUUUGGAGCCA